rnacentral:rRNA from 1 species
UUCUAAGGGCGGUGAAGUCAGACCGGAAGGACUGGUGGAGCGCUUAGAAGUGAGAAUGCCGGUAUGAGUAGCGAAAGAAGGGUGAGAAUCCCUUCCACCGAAUAUCUAAGGUUUCCUGAGGAAGGCUCGUCCGCUCAGGGUUAGUCGGGACCUAAGCCGAGGCCGAUAGGCGUAGGCGAUGGACAACAGGUAGAGAUUCCUGUACCAGUGCUAAUUGUUUAACCGAUGGGGUGACACAGAAGGAUAGGGAAUCGCACGAAUGGAAAUGUGCGUCCAAGCAGUGAGUGUGAGAAGUAGGCAAAUCCGCUUCUCGCGAAGCAUGAGCUGUGAUGGGGAAGGAAAUUAAGUACGGAAGUUCCUGAUUUCACGCUGUCAAGAAAAGCCUCUAGGAAGAGUAGUACUGCCCGUACCGCAAACCGACACAGGUAGAUGAGGAGAGAAUCCUAAGGUGAGCGAGAGAACUCUCGUUAAGGAACUCGGCAAAAUGACCCCGUAACUUCGGGAG